rfam:Nadsonia fulvescens var. elongata DSM 6958 unplaced genomic scaffold NADFTscaffold_6, whole genome shotgun sequence.
GCGGUUUUAGCUCAGUUGGGAGAGCGUCAGACUGAAGUUUAAACUUCGGUCCAGUAUAUCUGAAGGUCCAGUGUUCGAUCCACUGAAACCGCA